CACGUAGGGCGCAAGCGUUGUCCGGAAUUAUUGGGCGUAAAGAGCUCGUAGGCGGUCUGUUGCGUCCGCUGUGAAAACUCGGGGCUUAACCCCGAGCCUGCAGUGGAUACGGGCAGACUAGAGGUAGGUAGGGGAGAAUGGAAUUCCCGGUGUAGCAGUGAAAUGCGUAGAGAUCAGGAGGAAGACCAGUGGCGAAGGCGGGUCUCUGGACAGUACCUGACACUGAGACACGAAGGCCUGGGGAGCAAACGGG
rnacentral:rRNA from 1 species